UCAUACUGGGAUACUCAAAAUGGGGGCGCUUUCCUUUUUGUCUGUACUGGGAAGUGCUUCGAUUUUGGGGUGUCCCUGUUUGA
rnacentral:pre_miRNA from 10 species